UAAGGCCUAUGAUGGAUUUGAGCAUUUGCCUACAUUGUCCGAUUGUUCAUGACAGAGAUUUUGAAAUGUCUGUUCUGAGGCCACA